AGGACAUCGGCUGAAGAGCCAGCUCGGUGCACUGUAGUUCAAGAAGUAUGCAAACAAACAGAGGACAGUGCAGAGGGCAACAAGAAUGAGGACUGGGAAUGAGACUGGGAAGGCUUGUUUAUGCUGAAGAAAAGAAGGCAGAAGGAAGACAUGCUAAGAGUCUUCAUAUACUUGAAAGACCAUUGCAAAGAGAAAGGGAAUAAUCUGUCAUGGUGGGUAGAGUAAGAGACGCAGGCCCAUGUGCUUACACCUGUGCUGAUCAACAUACUCAUAACUGAUGUGGAAAAGGAGCUUUUGCGUGGGAUGGUGGGAGAAAGACUCACGUAGGAGACGAGGCCGGUGAAUCCACACUUGGAUUAUGAAUCAUUGCUUCUUGACUUAAUUUCUCAAGGAAAUAAGGUUCAAAGGCCAGUGCAACUCACAGAUGAAUCAAGGUGUAAGAGUUUCCCAUAUCUCCUGCGACAUGAAGGGCUGGGCACCUGGACUUCUAUUCAAGCAGCUUUAGCCCAGCUCUCAUUUCUGCUGGCUUUUCUUCCUAUCCUUCCCCAGGUCACUCUGUGUGGGCACCCUUUAGCAUAUGCAAAGAGACUCUGCAAGCAGGACGUACCCAAUCCCGAGGAACAAAGCAACAAUUUAUUGGCUCACAGGC
rnacentral:lncRNA from 1 species